UCUUACCGGGACCGACAGCAAUAUGAAGGCCAGGCUGAAGACUUUGCCGGAUUAGCUGAGAGUGGUGCAUGGCCGUCGUCAGUUCGUACUGUGAAGCAUCCUGUUAAGUCAGGCAACGAGCGAGACCCACGCCCACAGUUGCCAGCGUACUCUCUGGAGUGACGGGUACACUGUGGGGACCGCCGCUGCUAAAGCGGAGGAAGGAAUGGGCAACGGUAGGUCAGUAUGCCCCGAAUAUCCCGGGCUACACGCGAGCUACAAUGGUUGGUACAAUGGGUAUCUACCCCGAAAGGGGACGGGAAUCUCCUAAAACCAAUCUUAGUUCGGAUUGAGGGCUGCAACUCGCCCUCAUGAAGCUGGAAUCCGUAGUAAUCGCGUUUCAACAGAACGCGGUGAAUACGUCCCUGCUCCUU
rnacentral:rRNA from 1 species